AAGCGUGCGCAGGCGGUUUUGUAAGACUGUCGUGAAAUCCCCGGGCUCAACCUGGGAAUGGCGAUGGUGACUGCAAGGCUAGAGUUUGGCAGAGGGGGGUAGAAUUCCACGUGUAGCAGUGAAAUGCGUAGAUAUGUGGAGGAACACCGAUGGCGAAGGCAGCCCCCUGGGUCAAAACUGACGCUCAUGCACGAAAGCGUGGGGAGCAAACAGGAUUAGAUACCCCCAGU
rnacentral:rRNA from 1 species